rnacentral:rRNA from 1 species
AUUGAACGCUGGCGGCGUGCCUAACACAUGCAAGUCGAGCGGUAACGCGGGGGCAACCCUGGCGACGAGCGGCGGACGGGUGAGUAACGCUUGGGAAUCUACCCAGAAGUGGGGAAUAACCAGUCGAAAGAUUGGCUAAUUCCGCAUACGCCCCCUCUUCAUAUCGAAGAGGAGGGAAAGCGGGGGACCCUCGUUCUUCGGAACAGGGGCCUCGCGCUUUUGGAUGAGCCCAAGUCGGAUUAGCAGUUGGUAGGGUAACGGGCCUACCAAGGCGACAAUCCGUAGCUGGUCUGAGAGGACGACCAGCCACACUGGGA